UACGUAGGGGGCAAGCGUUGUCCGGAUUUAUUGGGCGUAAAGAGCGUGUAGGCGGCCUGAAAGGUCAGCUGUGAAAACUCGAGGCUCAACCUCGAGACGUCGGUUGAAACCAUCUGGCUAGAGUCCGGAAGAGGAGUGUGGAAUUCCCGGCGUAGCGGUGAAAUGCGCAGAUAUCGGGAAGAACACCCGUGGCGAAGGCGGCUCUCUGGGACGGUACUGACGCUGAGACGCGAAAGCGUGAGGAGCGAACAGG
rnacentral:rRNA from 1 species